GAUUCAUGUCAGAAGAAUGGGAUUAAUGUUAGAGAAUGGGAUUAAUGUUAGGAGAAUGCGGCUUUUAAUGUCAGGAGCAAGUUGGAUUAAUGUCAGAAGAAUGGGAUUAAUGUUAGAAGAAUGGGAUUAAUGUUAGGAGAAUGGGAUUAAUGUCAGGAGAAUGGACAUUGGAGAAAAUGUUACUGGCAUGUAAUUUCGCAUUGAUUAAUGUUAGU
rnacentral:lncRNA from 1 species